UACGUAGGUCCCGAGCGUUGUCCGGAUUUAUUGGGCGUAAAGCGAGCGCAGGUGGUUUAUUAAGUCUGGUGUAAAAGGCAGUGGCUCAACCAUUGUGUGCAUUGGAAACUGGUAGACUUGAGUGCAGGAGAGGAGAGUGGAGUUCCAUGUGUAGCGGUGAAAUGCGUAGAUAUAUGGAGGAACACCGGUGGCGAAAGCGGCUCUCUGGCCUGUAACUGACACUGAGGCUCGAAAGCGUGGGGAGCAAACAGG
rnacentral:rRNA from 1 species